ACCGGCGCAAGGGUGCGUAACGCGUGAGCAACAUGCCCGUAUCAGGGGGAUAAUCCAGGGAAACUUGGUCUAAUACCCCAUAGUAAGUUUCAGAGGCAUCUUUGAGAUUUUAAAGCUUUGGUGGAUACGGAUUGGCUCGCGUGACAUUAGCUAGAUGGUAAGGUAACGGCUUACCAUGGCUACGAUGUCUAGGGGUUCUGAGAGGAAGGUCCCCCACACUGGAACUGAGACACGGUCCAGACUCCUACGGGAGGCAGCAGUGAGGAAUAUUGGACAAUGGAUGGAAAUCUGAUCCAGCCAUGCCGCGUGCAGGAAGACGGCCCUAUGGGUUGUAAACUGCUUUUGUAUGGGAGCAAUAAGAACUACGUGUAGUUUGAUGAGAGUACCAUACGAAUAAGCACCGGCUAACUCCGUGCCAGCAGCCGCGGUAAUACGGAGGGUGCAAGCGUUAUCCGGAUUUAUUGGGUUUAAAGGGUGCGUAGGCGGUUUGAUAAGUCAGCGGUGAAAUAUUUCAGCUUAACUGGAAGGGUGCCGUUGAUACUGUCAGGCUUGAAUUUAGUUGCUGUGGGUGGAAUGUGUGGUGUAGCGGUGAAAUGCAUAGAUAUCACACAGAAUAUCGAUUGCGAAGGCAGCUCACAAAGCUAAUAUUGACGCUGAUGCACGAAAGUGUGGGGAUCAAACAGGAUUAGAUACCCUGGUAGUCCACACU
rnacentral:rRNA from 1 species